rnacentral:rRNA from 1 species
UAGCUAGUUGGUGGGGUAAGGGCCUACCAAGGCGACGAUCGGUAGCUGGUCUGAGAGGAUGACCAGCCACACUGGAACUGAGACACGGUCCAGACUCCUACGGGAGGCAGCAGUGGGGAAUAUUGGACAAUGGGGGCAACCCUGAUCCAGCAAUGCCGCGUGUGUGAAGAAGGCCUGAGGGUUGUAAAGCACUUUCAGUGGGGAGGAGGGUUGACAGGUUAAGAGCUAAUUAACUGGACGUUACCCACAGAAGAAGCACCGGCUAACUCCGUGCCAGCAGCCGCGGUAAUACGGAGGGUGCGAGCGUUAAUCGGAAUUACUGGGCGUAAAGGGUGCGUAGGUGGUUGAUUAAGUUAUCUGUGAAAUUCCUGGGCUUAACCUGGGACGGUCAGAUAAUACUGGUUGACUCGAGUAUGGGAGAGGGUAGUGGAAUUUCCGGUGUAGCGGUGAAAUGCGUAGAGAUCGGAAGGAACACCAGUGGCGAAGGCGGCUACCUGGCCUAAUACUGACACUGAGGCACGAAAGCGUGGGGAGCAAACAGGAUUAGAUACCCUGGUGGUCCACGCUGUAAACGAUGUCAACUAGCUGUUGGUUAUAUGAAAAUAAUUAGUGGCGC